UGAGACCAUAACAGUGGCUGCAACCUUU
rnacentral:piRNA from 1 species